GCAGAGCCUUCCCCGGGGCACUUAUAGAUUGCCAAAAAAGACAGACUGGAAUAAGGAUUUCGCAGCGAUGUCAGGUCAGACAGGUGGGGAGAAAGCUUCGUGGGGGAGACCAUCAGGUUCCAGCUGGGCUUUGAAGGAUGAGUAGGAUUUACGAGGCAGGCAUGAGGAAACCAUGAGUUGGGGCCCCAGAGAUGUGACACUGCUUGACAUGCUGUUGGGUGAGAACAAACGGGCCUGAAGUGUAAGGUGGGGAAGGCAGACAGAUGAAUUACCUGGUGUAUGGCAAAGGCUUGGCUUGCUUGCUCACAUGUUUGGGUGCUAACCUGCAAACAUUCGGGGAAGGUAUUGAUGGAAGGUCAUGUUUCACUGCUUUUCAGCCAGGUAACCUCAGGUAAGUUCCAUUACCUCUCUGACCCUGGCUUUUCUCAUCUGUUACACUGGAACAAAACAGCUACUUUGCUAGAUUAUUACAAGGAAUAAAGACACGGGAGUUCCUGUUGCAGCUCAGUGGAUUAAGAAGCCAACAUAGUGUCUAUGAGGGUGUGCGUUUGGCAGCUCGGAUCUGGUAGUGCUGUGGCUGUGGGGUAGGCCAGCGGCUGCAGCUCUGAUUUGAUCUCCAGCCGGGGAACUUCCAUAUGCCACAGAUGUGGACAUAAAAAAAAAAGAAAAAAAAAUAGUGGAUAGGAAGUAGUCAGCAGGGUGCCUGACAUACAGUACAUGUUAAAAAUAACUCCUCUUCCUAGUGGUUAAUUUAAUGAUGUGCUUCUUGCAGAGAGAAGCUAAUAUUCUCAUAGUAUACAGGGUGUCAAUUAUCAGAGCACCAUACCCAAGGUUCAGGUACAUACAUUUCUCAAUGUCAAGCAAUAGACUUGUAUUUUAUUCCCAAGGAGGAGAGAUCCACGUAUGGAUGGAUCUAGAACAGCUUGUUUAUCCACUUAUCUACAUCUACUGAUGGGACGUUUGGGUUCUUUGGGUUCUUUGCAGUUUGGGGCUCUGACAAAGCUGUGAGCAUUCGUGUGCAAGUCUCAUAUGGACGUGUACUUCCAUUUUCCUUGUGUAAAGACCUAUGAGUAGAAAGGCUGGAUCAUACAAUAGUCACAGUCUUUGUUUGUUUGUUUUGCUUUUUAGGGCCAUACCUGCUGUGUAUGGAAGUUCCCAGGCUCAGGGUCGAAUCGGAGCUACAGCUGCCAGCCUACACCACAGCCACCGCAAUGCUACAGCUGAGCCUCGUCUUCGACCUAUACCUCAGCUCAUGGCAAUGCCAGAUCCUUUAACCACUGAGUGAGGUCGGGGAUUGAACCUACAUCCUCAUGAUCCUAGUCGAGUUCGUUAACCCCUGAGUCACGAUGGGAGCUCUUACGUUCUUGAUUUCUUAUGCAACUGCCAAACUGUUUUCCAAAGUGCUGGUACCAUUCCCCAUCCCCACGGGAGGUGAAUGAGCUUUCCGGUUGCCACACAGCUUCACCAACCAUUGGUGAGGUCACUCAUCCUAAUGUUAUACUUUCUAAGAGGUGUCUGUGUUCUCGCAUUGUGAUUGUAACUUGUGUUUCUCUAGAGAUUAAGAACACUGAGCAUCAGAGUUCCCGUUGUGGCUCAUUGGGAUCAAACCUGCAUCCUCAUGGCUACUAGUGGGGUUUGUUUCUGCUAUGCCACAGCUGGAACUCCUCCAAAGAGAGUAUUUUCUCAAGGACUGAAAUUGUCUAUGUGGGUUCAGAUUUGGGUAAUCAACAGUGCGGGCAUGUUUAAAAUUAAAAAAAAAAAAAAACUUUCCAGAAAAGAAUUCCUAAUUAUAGAAGCUCCAGUUGCUUUUGGAAAUUUUUAAAAUUAUAAUUUCUAAACUUAUGGAUGUAGGAAGUUCAAAGUUAGCCAAAUGCAGAGCCCUCAAGAGAGACUUUAAUUUUGACCCUUUGUGUUAGAGGGUUUAGGAUGAAGGGAGCAUUGAUGAGUUCAGAUUAGCUACAGUCUGUAUCUACUGAAAAGCCCAUGAAAGGUUAGCAUAGAUGGUUCCAUGGUCCUUUCUUUUUCUUUCUUUUUUUCUGUCUUUUGUCUUUUUAGGGCCGCUCCUGUGGCUUAUGGAGGUUUGCAGGCUAGGGGUCCAAUUGGAGCUGUAGCCUCCGGCCUAUGCCACAGUCACAGCAACGUGGGAUCUGAGCCACAUGUGUGAUCUAUACUGCAGGUCACAGCAACGCCUGAUCCUUAACCCACUGAGCGAGGCCAGGGAUCGAACUUUUGCCUUCAUGGAUGCUAGUUGAAUUCAUAUCCACUGAGCUAUGAGGGGAACUCCUCCAUGGUCCUUUCUAACCCCAGAGUGUUAAUUUCUUUUAUUUCCAACAGGUUAGUAGUGAUAUUAGCCUAAUACAGUACUAGUUGGUACAAUACUGCCACCUAUGGAACAACACUGUAAUUUGUUAUACUGUUAUAAUCCAUGGAUUUUUAUAUCAUGCUUUUGAAAAAAUGUAGAAACCUUGCCAUCUACAUGAAUAUUUUGAUGAAUUCUUUGGUAGGUUAAUAAUCACCUCUCAAAUUGAUCUUUUGUAAGAAUCUGAUUUGGAUUUGCCUCAAAGAAAAGACAAGUGUAUGGAAAAUGUGAAUUACAACAUCUUAUUGGGUUAUUAUGAAAAUGAAAUAUUAAUAUGCUUAAUAUACAUAUGGAACAGUAUCCAGAACAUUGAAAGCAGUCGGGAAAUCUACUUGUUAUCAUUGUUGUUAUUAUCGUUUAAGAUUUCUGCAUUUUGGAGUUCCCGUUGUGGUUCAGUGGUAAGGAACCUGACUAGGAUCUAUGAGGAUGUGGCUUCGAUCCUGGCCUCACUCAUUGGAUUAAGGAUCUGGCAUUUCUGCGAGCUGUGGUGUAGGCUGCAGAGGCAGCUCAGAUCUGGUGUUGCUGUUGCUGUGGCUGUGGCAUAGGCUGGCAACUGCAGAUCUGAUUCGACCCCUAGCCUGGGAACUUCUAUAUGCCGUGGGUGCAGCCCUAAAAAGACACACACACACACACAAAAAAAACCCCACCAAACCCAAAACAAAAAACUUCUGCGUUUCAAAGCUCUUUGUGAUAGUUUAAGACAUUUACCUAAUUUCUUUUCCUAUCUUGCUAGAAAGUCAUUGUUGUUUUACCUCCUUAUGUGCUAAGGAAGAGGUUUCCAGGGUUGAAGUGCCAUUCUGUCAUUUUCUUACUUUUCUAUCGAGUUUGCAUCUUCCUCACCCUUCACCAGUUGUUUCUUUGUGGGCACCUUUAAGUCAUGGGUCUAUUUUAUGAGUGCUCUUUAAUUAAAAAGUUAAAACUGUAUAAUAAUUGUAGAAUUCAGAAAUCCACUUAACCUAGAUACUUUGGAGACCACUGAUUCUAAAAGCCUGCGGUAGCUAUUCAAUUUCAUGGGUGUAUUAUUCAAGAUAUUUAAAAGUUACAGGUGAUACAACUUUUUUGAACUUCAGAGUGCUUUUGUAAUUGCAGUGGAGACCAGAAAAAAAAUUACCUCUCAUCAGACUUUUAGAGAUCCACUACUAGGGUAAGAAGGCUGGUCUCCACAGGUGUAGCUUGUGUUUUAAGCACCAUUAAUUCACAGAACAGCAUCUGCAUUUAAUGUACAAGUUUAAGUUGAAAUGGGAGGGCAUGUGUACUUUUUCUUAAAAUGAACUCUUUUUUUUUUAAAAAAAAAACUUAAACUAUAGUUGAUUUACAAUAUUAUAUUGGUUUCAGGUGUACAAUAUAAGUGAUUCAGUAUUUUUAUAGAAUAUACUCCAUUUAAAGUUAUUACAAAACAAUGGCUGUAUAUCCCUGUGCUGUAUCCUAUAUCCUGCUUGCUUUUCCCCUGCUGCAACUAGUUUUAAAACAAACUUUUAUUUAAAAAUUUUUUUUAUCAGUGUAUAGUUGAUUUACAGUGUUGUGCCAAUUUCUGCUGUACAGUAGUGUGACUCAGUCAUAGGCAUAUAUUCAUUCCUUUUUUUUCAAUUCUCCAUCACAGUCCUUCUCGCAUGACUUGACAUCGUUGCCCGGGCUCUACAGUAGGACCUCACUGCUUAUCAUUCUGAAUGGCAUAGUUUGCAUCUACCAGCCCCAAACUCCCCUUCCAUCCCACUCCCUCCUCCCUCCCCCUUGGCAGCCACAAGUCUGUUCUCUACGUCUGUGAGUCUGUCAUUUCCGAUUUAUUUUUGGCUCUUGGGGCAAUGUCAUCUUUUCUGGAAAAAAAAAAAAAAA
rnacentral:lncRNA from 1 species